rnacentral:lncRNA from 1 species
GGAAAACUAAGAGAAACAAAGCUUAAAAAGGAGCAAAAACACAAGAUAUCAACUCCCCCAAACUUAUCUCUUGCUAGUCCUCAAGCAAGGGCUAAGAAAUAAGAUGGAAAAGAAGUUUGAAAGUGGGGAUUCAUAGCCACAAAAUAUCAAACAAAGGAUUCAACUCAAAGUCCUUAAAAAUAGUUCAAAUUUGCUUGAGUCAAUCAUCAUACUCUUUCGUACUUUUCCAUACUCAUUUCAAUGCAUGAUUCUAUUUCAAUCUCCAACUAUUAGUAAAGACUCACAAUCAAGUUGAAACAUCUCUUUAACAUUCAUUCAAGUGUUUGGCGCGGUCUCGCAAAUGGAAAGUAAAUCAUUCUCAAUCGGUUUUGGUAAAGGUUUUUGGAGGUGGUUUCAAAAGAUUCAUACUUUGGUGGCUUUCUCUCAAGAAAAGGAAUGCUAGACAAUCAUGAAAUCCAUCUAAGACCAUGAACAAUUUAUGCAUACAAAGUUAAGCUCUUGUUGUUCUACCCGCCUUAGAUAUAAACUCCUAUUUCUUUUCCUCUUCUUUUCUACCCCAAACACUAGACACUUUGGUCUUUUUAAAUCACUAACCUCAAGAUCACUUUCUUUUUGUAGUCACCUAGGGAAAAUUUCUCUUAAAUAAUUAGCUCUUUACUUUGUUUUUCUUUGCUCCCAUUACUUAUAACCUUGUAAAUUUAUUUUUCUUUUUGGGAACUAACUUCACACUUUUCUUUCUCUUUUAACUUAGAGACUUAGAGCUUUUAUCUUGACUUUAUUCCCUAGGAACUCUUUAUUUGCAUGAUCAAACCUUUCUUUUCAUCUUUCUUUCAUCUUUUUCCCAAACCCAAUCCCAAAUAUUCAAUCUAACCACCUAACUCUUUCAUUUCCAACCUAGUAGCUAGUCAAAAAUGUUCCAAAAGCUAGCUAAAACAAGAGCAAAAACUUUGUCGUUCUCAAUACUCUCAAGAUUUCAUAAUCUAUAGCAUUUUCAAACAAGAGACCUCACUCGCAAUCAAUCAUAGGCUUGAAUGAAAAGGUUAAGGUUUAGGCUAUGAGAAACCAUUCUAAAGGUGAGAAUGGCCAUUCGGGUUUACAAAAGAGUGGCGAAGUGAAUAAGAAAACCCGAAUAUGUCUUUUAGACAACCAUGAGAAUGCAUUUAAAAUCCAUAAGCGAGAAGAUUAAAAUCAAAUUAAGUUCAAAUUCAUAGAGAUGCUUCAAAGUCAUGUAAGCUUCACACAAGUAGAAAUUGCUUUCGAAAAACGCAAAGAUCUAAGUAUGAUUUUCCAUUUUUUCCAAGAUGAUCAAGCAACAAUAAACUAUGAUUGAGGGCUUUAAAUUCAAUCCUAAGCUUGAAUUUCUACAAGGUAAUUAAAUCAUUAUCCCCUGUGCAUAUGCAAAUGCAACUAAAUGUUUCUAUACUCAAUCUUAGAACAAAAUAAAUGAAUAUGCAAAGCUACAUGCAUUUUUUGGAUUUUUCAAACUUUUCAAAAUUUUUUUGAUUUUUCUCAAAAACAUAACUAUUAACAAUGCAAGACUCAAGGAAAGAAAAUCAAAACAAAACACAACAUUAGAUGGUUAGUCUCUCCCCCAAACUUAUUUCACACCGUGUCGGUGUGAGAAAAAAAAACGAGGAAAAGACUAACGAAAUUGAGAAUGUAAAAGACGAGAAAAAUAAAAAUAUGUACAAGGAUUUGGAGUGGUACCUCUAGUAUUGAAAGAAGCUUGAGGAAUCUAUGGAAUAGAGUGAGAUGAAUCCAUGUAUCACUCGGAUCAUAUUCAUCGUAGUACCAUCCCCUUAAAUUUUUCAUCCUAAUCUCCUCAAAGAGUACCUUCUUCGGUUCAUCAAUGCUCACUUCAUUGGUGGAGAUUGUACCAAGAUGCUUUCGGACCAUGUAUUCAAAAACCAAAACACCUUCACAAGGAUCUUCAAAUAUUUUUCCAACCACACCUAAUCUUUUCUCAUUGCUCUUAGUUGAAUAACUCAAGAUUGCCACGGGUUCAACUUGUUCUUCAUAUCUCACCACAAGAUUCUCAUCAACCGUGCAUUCAAGAAGCAAUUCUAAUUCUCUUAUAGACUCUUUGGCUUCUUGGAGGAAUUCAUCAUUGAUUUGAGCAUUCUCCUCAAAAACUUCUCCAAUAUCAUUGGGAAGCACCUCUUUUGUCUUGGUUUCACUAAGAGGACUGCAUUCUUCUUCUUGUUCCUCGAGCCAUCGUGUAAGGUUGGUAUUGAUAGGCUCCACGUGUGUUGUCUAAGAAACCCUUGAACCUUGAGUCCAAGCACCUAUCUCGGUGUCAAUCAUGCUAAGACUCUCAUUAUACUUCUCUUUCUCUUCCAAAAUCAACUUCAACAAGUUGUAAUUCUCUUCUUCAUUAGAGAUUGGGGAAGAAUAGAGUGCUCCAUAGUCAUAAUCCAUCUCCGAAGAUUGAUAUCUCUCACCAUAUCCACAUUGGUUCCCUUGAGCAUUGUUUCCAUCCGGUUGAUACUCUCUUGAGGUGGAUGUUUCAUAAGCUCCUUGAUAGCUUGUGGGGUUCCAAACUCCCUCGUUCUUGUUCUUCCAAUAUGAGCUUCAACAUAGAAUUCAUGUAGGAAGACAUCUUCUUUCUCCCUUGUGAGUGUAUCUUGAAAAAUGAACAAACACUUGCAAGAAAGUUAGUAACCAAACAAACUAAAAUGAAACAAGCUUAGUCUCAAGAAAAUUUGAAAUCCUAAUGAUAAAUCUAUUUAGUUCCCCGGCAACGGCGCCAAAUUGAUUAGGUGGUUUUUCUAUCAAUUAAUAUUUCCUCAAGGUCCAAAAACCACAAUCUAAUGGUUAUCGUUUAUAGCACUUAAGGGUCGAAUCCACAGAGAACUAGAGAUCUAAGACACUAAGAAUACACAAAAUUUCUUAAUCUAAGCAAAUAAGGGAUUGGUUUAAAACUAACAACCUAAGUGAAAUGAAAACAAAAAUAAAAAAAAUGCAAAUGAAAUAAACAAACCAAAAGCAAUUGAGAAAGCUAAACAAGUGUCUAAGCUAAACAAUAACCCAUAAACAUAAAGCAAUAGCAAAAUAAAUGAGAAAAAUGCAACUUAUAAAGGUCAACAAAAAGUCAAAGAUGAAAAUGCUUAAUGAAUAAGCCUUUGGGUUAAGGUUAUUGACUGACUUGGGUGGACAAAGGAUAAUCUAUGAUGCUAAUACAAUCAAUCAUUUGCUAAUCAUUAGGUCUAAGAUCACUAAUUUAAGCUAAUUCACUUCCAUGCAAUAACUCUACACUAAUCAAGCAAUUAACAUCAAUUUCCAUUGGCAAUCACAAGACUAAUAUGCAUUAAUUUCAAGCCUAACUAACCACCUAGCACCCUAAUCAUCAAUUUCCGUUGGCUAGAAAUGCUAAGCACUCACUAAGUUCUUUCGGGAAUUUCAUCGAACACCUUCCGGGCAUGAAACUUAGUUUAAUCAAAACUAAUCUAUCACUAAGAAUACCUAGGGAGUAAGGAUAUAUUAAGACUAAGUCCUAAGCAUCACAAAUCAUCACCUAAGCACCCUAAUCUACUUGACCCAAAAGCUCUAAGAAGACUACUCACUUAAAGCCAUGAAAAUCCAAGGAGUUGACAUUAGUCCUUGAAGAAGAAGAGUAUAAGAGAAAGAUAGAAGUUGAAUCUAAAGAAAUACUUAUAUAAAAGCAAGAAUCACAAAGGUUUAAACUUGAUUAAAAAGAGAAAUUAAGAAAACUAGGCUUAGGUAGCAUGUAAAAUCUAGAAAUUAGGUUUAGACAUAUUUAUAGAAAAAUAAAAUGAACCGGAUCAACCCGGAACAAACCGGGUUUUGAUCCGGUUUAAGUACUCAAUCGCCAGGCAAUCGACCAGUCAAUCGACCAAGCAAUCAACGAGUCAAUCGACCAAGCAAUCGACCAACUGGUCGACUGCUUCCUCGACUCCUUCUCGUCCGCGUGUCUGGAUUGGUCCCAAUCGACCAACUGGUCAAUUGCUUUCAUCCUCCUCUUGAUUCUUUGAUUCUUCACUUCUUUCAACUUCAUUUGCCUCCAAAACUCCAUACUUCACUACAAGAACCUAAAAAUAAGAAAUGCAAUAUAAAUAUGCACCUAAGGACAUGAAUGCAAAAUGAUGGAAAACUAAGAGAAAGAAAGCUUAAAAAGGAGCAAAAACACAAGAUAUCAAAACUCUCUGAAGCCAGUUAUUGUAUCUGUUAGGGUUGUUUCAAAUGAUUGUUUUCUACGCCUUCCUCGUGAACCACUCCUGGUAGAAAUUUGGGAGUUUCCUGCACCUCUUUGCGAACUACUUCCACGCCUUACUCCACCUCGUUGUUGAGUUCUGGAUGUAGGAAUCUGAAAAGGAGCAUCGGGUGACGAAUUAUGAUGCAAACUUUCACGGAUGAACGCAUUGGACUGACGUGUUUCAUCAUCAAUGUUAACACGAUACACCUCUUCAUUUUCUUGUGUCUCAGGAACUUGACUGUCUUGCAUAUCACCAUCAUAUGUUUCAAAGUAUAUAUGACCUUCAUCAUUAUCCAGACAAUCAUUCCUUAGCUGUUCUCUUCUUUGGUUCACAGAGAAUUGAGGCUGCAAGUGGACGUCAUAUAAUAUGAAACAUCGUUGCAUCACAUCCCAAAGCUCUGGCGGCUUUCGUUUAAAUGAUUUGACAAUUUUACGUACCUGUUAAUAAGAUAAUAAAUUUUUUAGCUUAUAAAUCUUUUUUAAAUUUUACUAAAUUAUAUUUUGGUCAUGAGAGACAUUAUAAAUACUUACUUCACGCUCUUGCCACCAUGAGUUAGAUGCCGAUAUCACAGAUGUAGUAGUAUCAACCGAGAUGCCCGUGGAAUCUUUCAUAAGAUGCUUGUAUUUCUUGUACUUUCUUUUUAGUUGAUCAAGUUUUUCUUUGAAGAACCGAUAAUUUACGUUUAGAUUAAACUCCUUGUUAAACUUGUCAACGAUAAAUUCUCUACCAAGGGGUGUAGGAUAUUUGAAACGAUAAUUGCCCAUGGCAAUUGCUUGAUCGUACAACUCAAGAAAUAUUGUUUCUCGGUUAGGAGUCCAUUUAAAAUUAUCUUCACUCUACAAAUUAUGAAAAAUUUUAAUUACUUUGUUAUUUAAAUUCUAAUUACUUGAAAAUUCAAAAAAAAUAUAAUUUCUAACAAACAUACCUGUGCUGAUGUUUCUGUGGGAAGAUUUAAAUCUUCUUCUUCUGAAAAAUCUGUGUUUUGUCGUCUAUUCGACGCCAUAUCUACAAUUUUAAAAAUAAUAUAAGUAAUACUAAAACAAAUAAUAAUAUACUAAAUAAUAUGUUGUGUGACAAUAAAAAAAAUUAUGUAAAUAUUACACAUUUAUUAAAUAUAAACAAUGAAAGAUAGAAAUUUAGAGUUAUCUACAAUCAAACAUCAUUUACAAAUUAAUAUGUAUGAAAUUAUUAUGCAUAUCUACAUCAUAAAAAGCAUAUCAUUUUAAAUAUCAUAAUUUUGAAUUAUUCUAUUUGUAAGUAUAUAUAAAAAUAAAAGUAUCUAUUAAAAAUAAAAGUAUAUAUUAAAAAAUAAGUAUAUAUUAAAAAAUAAGUAUAUUUCAAAGUAUAUACUAAAAAUAAAAUAUUAAUUAAACUAAUACUAAAUAAACUUAUAAGAAGCAAUAUAAAUUUAAUUACUUUAAACUAACAAACUUCUUUUACUAGAAUAUUGCAAAGUAAAGAUGUAGUAGUAAAUUAGAAAGUUAAAAAUAAAUAUUUGAAAAAAUUAGAAUGAUGCAUGAAUCUAUAAAUGAUUAACAAAACAUAUAUUUAUGUUGUUUGGCUAAUAUUGUUCCCUACGAUUCUACAUCAUAUAAACGAAAUUUUAAUCUACAUUAUUGCAUGAAAAAAUAAUAAAUAUGCAUAACUAAUGACAUCAAUAAAUUUAACAUAAACAUCAAAACAAAAUUAGGAUAAAAAAAUUAAUGUAUACCUGUAGAUAAGGUUCCCUUUGAUUUUUAACGUUGCUAUUUCCACUUGAACCACUUCUUAUAAUACUGUCAUGUAAGACAUACUUUUUUAAAUUAAUAGUUUUACCAAUUUCAUUAUUAAUAUACAAAUAUUUAAAAUUAUAGGAAUUAUUUUUUUAGAAGAAAACUCAUCUAUCUAUUUAAAUAAUAUUUAAAAAUUGAUUUAUACUAAAAUAACAUACAUAAAGUUGAUUUACUAAUUUGUUUAGUCUCUAUAUUUUAACACCUUGAAGAAAAAAUUAGGAUAGAGAUAUAAACUACACAAUUAUAACAAUUCAUAAAAGAUAUUUAUACUAUACAUAAAUAAAUAAAUACUAUAAUAUUUAUUUCUAGUUUUGUAAAAAAAAAAAAGUUACAUUCUACAAAAAAAAAAAAAAAGCAACGUAAAAGAAAGAAAGAGAGAGAGCAAGACACUCACCUUUUGUGUAAUGUGAUGUAAUGUGUGAAGUACAAAAUAGUGUUUGUGUUUUUAUAGAAGAAAAAUAUUUUGAUUUUCGUUUUUUAUUAUUAAAAAUUGAUGAACUGUUGUUGGACCACUUCAAUUAACGUAUGGGAGAUAAUUAUCUAAUUUGACCUGCUUUUAUCACAAAAAGACAAAAAAAAAUUUUUUGCAUGCAGAUAGCCCACUUUUCUACUUUUUUCCUAAUUGGUAAACUAAAUACAGUUCACCUAUCCCACAAGUUAGACUGCCAAAUUUCUGUCAUAACAUUCAAAUCCUUAGACUGUAUGUUCUAUAUGGAGCUAAUGAUGGCUAAGAGAAUCAAAAUGUGAUGUGAGUUAUCAAGUAAUCAACUGAAUCAAAUAUAGGCUCCGAAUGGAGAAAGCGUAUCGAGCAUAGCAGAUCAAGCGGAUCAAGCGUAUCAAGCAGAACAAAAGUGGAUUAAGCAGAUCUAGUGGUACAAGUGCGGAUCAAGCGGUUCGAACGCUUUAGAAUAUGUGUUGAAUGGUGAAAGCAAAUCUUUUACAUAAACGAUACAUACUAAAAAUAAUUAUAUUAAAUAAAUUUAUAGUAUUGGUUUAACAUAUUCUUGAUUAUAAUCUAUAAAUACAAUAAAUAUAUUUAUUAUUAUACAUAUGUAAAACAUUAAACAGAAAAUAGUUUCAAAUAAAUAAAUAGAUAAAUAUCUCUAAUAUUUGAUUUAUAUUAUUAUGUUAUCAUGUAAAAUUUGGUUAAGUUAAAUGAUAAAGUAACAUUGUAUUUGCAUAAAAAAAUUGAUCACAAAAGAAACGUAGUUGAUACACUCAUUAUUUACUGCGUUAAUAUUGUAGUUAGCGGAUCAUUGUUUUUGUUCAUAUUGACUCCGAAUGGAGAAAGCGUAUCGGGCGGAGCGGAUCAAGCGGUUCAAGCGUAUCAAGCAGAACAAAAGCGGAUCAAACGGAUCUGACGGAAAAAAGCGGAUCAAACAAAUUUGGCGGUUCAAAAUAUGUGUGAAUGGUAAAAGAGGAUCAAGUGAUGCGGUUCAAACAAUAUUAUUUAGAUAAAACAUUUACUGAAAAAUAAAUACAUAGUAUUAUAAAUUAUGUUAAAUAUGUACUCAUGAUUAUGAACAAAAAUUAAUUAAGAAUCUAUAAAAAUUUAGUUUGCAAAUCCAUAUAAUUUAUCUAGAGUACUACUUCCUUAGUUCCUUUUUAGUUGAUUUUUUAGGAGAAAAAAAAUUUCUUCUAAAUUAGAUGAUGUUUUAAGUUUUUAAUACUAUAUUAAUUAAUUUUUAUUAGUUUUGAUAUUUUUAUUUUGCAAAUUAUUUUUCUACUGGUUGAAUAGAUAAUAUAUGAUGUUUUAGUUUAGAUAUAAACAAAAAUUAAAUAUUUCUUUCAUCGGUGUUUAAACAUCAAGUAAAAAAACGGAAGAAGUAGUAAUUUGAAAAUUACAUACAUAUAGGAUAUUAGUAAAAGUAUAAAUUAUGUGUUUCAUAAGGGACUACUAAAAUGAUAUAUGUAUAUCUUGAUGUAUUUAACACAAUAAAUUGAUUCUUAAUUUUGGUGUACUUAUGUCAAUAGAAAGAAAAACAAUAAUUAUUAUGAACAAAUAAAUCAUUAAUAUAAUUAAAAGAUGUAACAUAAAAUUUGGGUGGUCUAAACAAUAUUUAUGAAUAUAUAUUGUAGACUAGAUAAAAAAAAUAGCACAGUUAAUGUUUUAUAUUUUGGAAAAAGAAAAGAGAAUAAAAAAAUAAACUUCAGUAAAAAAAAAGCAGAUCUCACACCAAUCCACCACUAUUUAGGUAUGGACGAACCGUCCCGCUAACAAAAAAGAAAGUAUGAGCAAACAAAAAAAAAAAUUCUUUUUUUUUAUUUUAUGUGGUUCAAAAGCAGAUGGUUUGCUAAUUGUUAACUUUUGUCUGAAUGGAAACACAAGUACAGAUCAUCUUCUUCCUCUAAUGAACCACCUUUGUUCUGUUUCCCCAUUCAAGGCCACAAUGUACAAUUGAAAAGUUACAUCAUCUUUUAGGGCUGUCCGAUUUAUCGAAUACGUCAAAGGACAAUGUUAUUGGAGAACAGUCCUGCGGUGUUGAAGAACUACUAAAGCAUCAUUGAUGUCGGGUAAAGCUUCAACAGCAGUUAGGAGUUGCUUGUCCAUGCAAUCCAUCAGCUCCUGGAUCGAAAGUGACUAAUCAGGACUUGAAACAUUCUCCAUUUUCAAAAGAGCAUCAUGUUGACGUGUUAGACUUAUGCACCAACAAAAGUCUGUUUUCCAUCAAAAGCAUAAAACAAAGUGUUACUUAACAAAGCAGAAAAUAUAAUCUCAAAAUCUGAUAACAGACAGUAAAAAACAUACAUCUUUGUUGAGCCAUGGUCAGUGCCGGUCCGGUAAAAUUUGAGGCCAAAUACGAAAAUAAAAUUAAGGCCUCUUUAAAAAGUAAAAAUUGUUAAAUUUUUUUUUUACAAAUUAUGAGAUAUUCAUAAUUUUUAUUUAUUAUUUUGAAAAAAAAUUCUGGACAUUAUUUGUUAAUAACGAGACUUUUUUACUAAUUGUGGAAUUUUUUUGGCUAAUUUCAGGCUUAUUUUAUAAUUUUGAGGUCUAAUUUUUUUUAAAAAAAAAAAAGAAAAAAAAAAUUCUCAACAAAAUGGUCUCAAAAAUUUGAGGCUCAAUACAAAUGUUUCUUCAAAAUUGGUGCAGUGCAGGGCCGGGCCUGACCAUGGUGGGCUCAAGUAUUGGUAGAUUUACGAGUUUCUAUGUUCGGUAAUCCUAUAAUCACAGAGAAACAUAAUCUACCGGUUAACAAUCAUCAACAACCUAAAAAUGACCUAGAAACUAAUCAAAACUAAUGAAGUUUUCGUAAAGCAGAUAAAUUCGAAAUUGUAACAUAGAUUUCCAAGUUGUAAAGAAAUAUCUCAUGCUGAUUUCAACCAAACGAUAAAAACAAGAUUAAAAAGGAAAAGUUCAUAGGUCAUUAAAGCAAGUACCGAUUUCUCAGUUUAUAAUCUCGACAAAUUAUCUGCUUUACGAAAAAUAUGGAAAAAUUGGAAAUAAAGGAUAAAUAUUUAAGUAUUUGUCCAUAUAUGAAUUCUAUGAACAAAUAUCAGCUAUUCCUAAACUACCCCUUGCAUAAGAUUGAACCAAUUGUUUCAAAAAUAAUUAAGAAAAAUAUGUAUUAAAAUGAUAAAGAAGACAUGAAGAUAUAUAAAAUGUCAAAAAUAUAUUGUUUUGUUUUCGUUUUAGAUGGAUAUAAUUUGAUCUAUAAAGUUUAGAAUAUGUCUUCUGAAAUUAGAAUGUAUAUUCUAUACACUCUGCAUGUCCUACAAAAUUUAGAUUAUGUAUUCUACACACUCUACAUGUUCUACAAAAUUUAGAAGUCAUUUCUGUUCUCCGGUAUUUAGAAUACUAGUUUCUACGACUUUUAGAAUACAUAUUCUAUACUUUGUUCUUUGUUCUACAAAAAUUAGAAUAUGUUUUCUAACAUUUACUCAUGUUCUAAGAAUGUUAGAAAACAUAUUCUUGAGAUUUUUUUUAUUCUAUAAAAAUUAGAAAGUACAUUCUAUCUAAUUUAUAUUUUUAAAAAAAUCUUAAAAUAUGGAAAUUGAAUAUAGUGAAUUUGAUUACAUCUGAAAAUUACAGAAGUUGAAUUCUGAAUACUUAAAAAUUCUUUAUACCUAAGUGAAUAAAUUAUAACACAAAUUAUAAUUUUUCUUUAUACUUCACACUUUUUCCUAUAGAUUACGCUUAAUUUCUUGUCUCAAAACCCGGAAAAUUAGUUGAAUUUUGAAUACUUUAAAAGUCUUUAUACCUAAGUGAAUAAAUUAUAACACAAAUUAGAAUUUUUCUUUAUACUUAACACUUUUUCCUAUAGAUUACGCUUAAUUUCUUGUUUCAAAACCCGGAAAAUUAUAGUUGUGCUCCAUAAAGAAAUUGAAAUCAAGGGAGAGAGAUAGAGAGAGAGAUUGAAGAAGAAGAAGAAAAAAAAAUUUAUUUAAUAUGGCGUUAUUAGAGAGGAGAGAACAAUUACGUAAGCUUAACUUUGAUGAGCAAGAGAAUCAAAGAAGAAGAAGAUAUGAAAUUAUCUACGGCAAAAUAAAUAAUGGAAUGUAAAUAAAUGUUGAUUUUGUCAUAUAUUUUUUCCAAAUUGUUUUUAGAAAGAAAUCAAUUUAAUUUUGAAUUUUUUUAAUAGUUUAGUAAAAUUUUAAAAGAUUGGGGGCAUAUUGGGAUUUUAAUUAUAUGAAAUCAUAUAUGACCAAUAUUAAAGUAUAUAUGACCAAUCAUGAAUAUAGAAUGCAUAGAUGGACAAUAGUUUAAUUAUUUGUCCUUUAUUUCCAAUUUUCCCAAAUAUAUAUAUAUCGCAUUUACUACUAUGAUAUACUACAAUUUGUCAAUUUUCUAGUUAUUAGUUUAUAGUAAUAAGAGAGAAACCAGCAAAACAUAUUUAUAUCAGAAUUUUCGUCAUUAAUUGUACUCAUAGCGAAAUAGAUACCAAGUACAUAGACACACUUUCGAAAAUCACUCAGAAAAACACAGUAAUAAAAAAUGUUGAUUGGUGUUUAGAGUACGGUUUUCACAAAACUUUUGUGAAAUCCACAAUAACUCUAUUUCUCAUCACUACCUUAAAAUAAAUAUAAUACUCCGGUUAACAUUAGCUUUCCUUGUACAUAUGGGUAAUCAAAUGAGAAUCAAAUAUUUUCAUUUUUUUAAUCAGACAUUUUCAAUUUUUUGUAAAUUAAAGGGACAAGAAUCAAAGAUUUUCAUAAAUUCACAAGACUUGCAUAAACUAAUACUAACACAUAAAUAAAUACAAAAAAAGGAACAAAAUUAGGCUUUUUAAUAGAAAAUGGACAUGUUCUUCAAUUCUUGCUUUUUGGGCUCUGCCUGUCCGUGUCUCGAAACACCCAGAGAGAUACUCUCUCUUAUCUGUCUUUUACUUAGCUGGUAUCUUCUUCUUUAUUGCUACUUUUUUUUUUCCUUCGAUGUCGAUCCAUUUCCCUUAAGGGUGAUUUGCAAAAGUAGCCAAUUUUGAAAAAGUUAUUAAAUUUAUAACACCAUAAUCUUGGAUAUUAAGUGAGUAACACAUGUGGUGUAUGAAAAGACAAUAAAAUCCUUUCAGUCUCACGAAGAAAAUGAAGGCGUGAAGAGAGAGAGAAAAGAGGUGCGUGAAGAGAGAGAGGGAAGAAGAGAGGGGGAGAGAGAGAAAGAAGAGAGGGGGAGAGAGAAAGAAGAGAGGGACGUGGAGAGAGAGAGGGAAGGAGAGAAGAACAGAGGGAGAGAGAUAAGAGAGGGACGUGGAGAGAGAGAAGGGAGAGAGAGAUUGAGAGGGACUAAAUCUGUCUUUAUUACAAAUUUUUGUUGGUUAUAAAGUCAAAUUAUCCUUUCCCUUAAUCCCUCUGAAAAUUACAUUUUUUUCCAUGUAUUUCACCAAAUCUUAAUUUUUCCAAAAAAAAAAACCUUUUCUAUAUUCUUCAAAUCUCAAGUUCUCUAAUUUCUCAUUCGACCUCGAAAUUUGACCAAUUAAUACUCUCAAAUAUCGGAUUUUCUUCCUCUGAAAAAAAACAAAAACCAAAUCUUAAUUCUUCAACAACCCAAGUCUGCUAAAAAUCUCAACUUUUAAGUCAAAAUUUUGUAUCCUCUCACCAAUUCCUAGUUCCAAAAAUCUCACCUUUAUCUCAAAAUUUUCAAUCUUUCCUCCUCAAAAACCCCCAAAUCUCUACUCUUCAAAAGACCCAAAUUCUCAAAUCUCAUCUUUGAGUCAAAAAGUUUCAAUCUUUCCUCUGAAUUCUGAAACCCCAAAAUCUCUAAUUUCAAAAAAAUCUCACCUUUAUCUAAAAAGUUUCAAUUUUUCCUCCUCAAAGCCCCAAAAAUGUCAGUAGCUUGUGGACUAGAAUGUGUCUUCUGCGUCGGAUUCAGUCGAUGGGCAUGGAAACGAUGCACACACGUAGGCUCCGACGAUAGUGCCACGUGGACAUCAGCAACACCUGAAGAAUUCGAACCAAUCCCAAGAAUCAGCCGUGUAAUCCUCGCCGUCUACGAACCCGAUCUAAGAAACCCUAAAAUCUCACCUUCAUUAGGAACUUUCGAUCUAAACCCUGAUUGGGUCAUCAAACGUGUGACACACGAAAAAACCCUAGGAAGAUCUCCACCGUACAUAAUCUACAUAGAUCACAACCACCGUGAGAUUGUUUUAGCGAUUCGUGGUUUGAACUUAGCUAAAGAGAGUGAUUACAAGAUUCUUUUAGAUAACAAAUUAGGUCAGAAAAUGCUUGGUGGUGGUUUCGUGCAUCGUGGGUUAUUGAAAUCUGCUGCUUGGGUUUUGAAUCAAGAAUCUGAAACACUUAGGAGAGUUUGGGAAGAGAAUGGUAAAGAGUAUGAUUUGGUUUUUGCUGGUCAUUCUUUAGGUUCUGGUGUUGCUGCUUUGAUGGCGGUUUUGGUUGUUAAUAAACCGGAGAUGAUUGGUGGUAUUCCGAGGAGUAAGAUUCGGUGUUUUGCUUUAGCUCCGGCGAGAUGUAUGUCGCUUAAUCUCGCCGUUAAGUAUGCUGACGUCAUCUUCUCUGUUAUUUUACAGGUUAAACUUUUUUUAACUCAUUUUUUGUUAUUACUUAUAAAAUGAUUCAAGAAAAAUAGAUUAGUGAAGUAGAAGUAAAAAAGUUUAUGUGAAUUUCGUAAAUUUAGCUGAUUUUAGACACUGGAUUUGCAAUGUUAAAUGUGGGAUAAUUGAUAAUUUUUUAACAAAAAAAAUAAUAAUAUAUCAGAAAGGUUAAAUCUUUCUUGUAAUUAUGAAAUUUUGCUUAGGUAAAUUAAGUAUUUAAGGGUUUUGGUUUAGUUGUUUAAGGGGUUAGAGAUUUGAUUUUGACAACUAAUUUGUUGAUUUAUAAACGAUUUUGAAUAUUUUUAUAGUUUUUGAUAUGAAAAUUAAAUUAUUUUUGUAACUGUCUUUUUGGAUGGUGGUGGUUGGUUCAUUGUUGACCAAGCAUUGUCAUAAUCAUCAUCCGUAAGUUAAGAAUAUGCUUUUGUGCUUUAUACAUUGAAUCGACAAAUUGAAUUUUUCUUUUUGCUUCUUGAGUUUGAUCUGAAUAUUCUGGUGAAUUUUGUACUAGUUUUGGGAGGUUGUUUAGUUGUUAAGAAAGGUAUCUAUAGAGAGAAUUUUCAUAGAGUAAGGUACUUACUAGUUACUACUAAGUAGACGAAUUUUAACAAAACUUAGUGUUUGUGGGAUAAUAGGAUGAUUUUUUACCAAGAACGGCGACACCGUUGGAGGAUAUUUUCAAAUCCGUAUUCUGGUAAGUGUCGGAACUUCUCUUUUCUUGUUGGUAUGAACUUAUCAUAGUUAAUUCAACAUUUUGUAUUUGUUGUUUGGACAGCUUGCCUUGCUUGUUGUUUUUAGUUUGUUUGAGGGAUACAUUUAUACCAGAAGGUCGGAAACUAAGAGAUCCUAGAAGACUAUAUGCUCCUGGUCGAAUUUAUCAUAUCGUUGAGCGAAAAUUUUGCAGGUAAUAAUGAAGUUAGUGCCAUUUCUUAUCUAAAUUCAUUUGUGUUUUUCCUCUGAUUAUUGUUUAUAUUUAGAUGUGGAAGGUUUCCUCCUGAAGUGAGAACGGCAAUUCCCGUGGAUGGUAGAUUUGAACAUAUUGUAUUAUCAUCGAAUGCAACGUCUGAUCAUGCGAUUCUAUGGAUAGAAAGAGAAGCAGAAAAGGCAUUGCAGGUGACAUUUAUUUUUUAUAUCUAAGUUAAGCAAAACAAAAACAAGACCACACAAACAAAUAUAUUAUGCGAUAGUUAGGAAAAAUUCUAAGACAAUAUAUAGAUGAAAUCAUGAAAAGAACAGGAUGCAUAUUUAUGUAUUAGUUAGGCAUUAGGAAAAACUAUUUUGAGCCAUUUUUACAAUUCCUCCUCAAAAUAUUAAGAGAUUAGUUAGGCUUUUAAAAAUGGUGGGUUUUGUGUUUUGUGGUUACAGAUAUUGAGAGAGAAGAGUUCAGAGACAGUGGCAACAAUGCCACCAAAAGAAAAGAGAAUGGAGAGGUUAAACACUUUAGAGAAAGAGCACAAAGAUGCGUUGGAGAGAGCGGUUAGUCUCAAUAUCCCACACGCAGUGUCCACCGCUGAAGAAGAAGAAGAAUGCAAUAAUGGAGAUGCAUCGGCGGAGUCAAAAACGAAGAAGAAGAAUUGGGAUGAAGUGGUGGAAAAGCUUUUCCAUCGAAGUGAUUCGGGAGAAUUCGUUUUCAACGAUAACUUUGUUCCUGAAAGGUAGCCUUAUGUCGGAUCGAUUGUGAUUGGAUUGGGUUUGUUUUUACUCAAUUUUGUUCAUCAUGUACUGUACAUGCAAUUCUAGGCUUGUGGAUUACUGGAUUUGUGAGAGAAUGUCUAUAAUCCGGUUGAAAUUGGUCUGAGACAAGACAAGUAAAGAAAAUUUUGUCCAAAUCGUUCUCACUUUUUUAACCUCCAUGUAAAAUCUCAAGUAGAACUUAAAUCUUAAAAGAGUUAAUUUGGUAAAUACCCAAAACUAACUAUAAAUUACUCAUUCCAAUUUUUAUUAAGAAAAAAACAAAUUUAAGACGACUAGAUGAUUCUUAACAGCUUUCAUUUACUUUACACAAUCAAACCACCAACAAAACCAUAAAAUCACUAGAAACGAAGAGCAUGAAAAAAAGAGAGAAGCAUGAUAUCAUCUGAAACUAGUUAAGUAGUAAGAACAACAACACAGAUUUGUUGCUGGAUUUAAGAGGUGUUCAUAGCAUCAGCGUGAUAGCUCUCAAGAUCCUUGUCAAGAUCAGCAGCUGACUUUUCCACUGGCUUCUUUCCAUUUCCUCUUCCACCACCACGACCACGGCCGCCACCACCACGCCCUCUACCACGAAACCCGCCUCUUCCCCCUCUCAUCCCUCCCUGCUGGUUAUGACUGCCACCAAAAGAAAUAAAACAUUUAUUAUUUCGAUCUAAUAAGGUAGACCUAAGCAUUUGAUUUUUCGGUUGGGUUUUUAAGGUUUCGGGUUUGGAAAAGAAGUGCAAACUAUAACUGACGUUUAUCUCAAGUUGGUUUGCCUCGAUGAGGCUUUUGACAAAAAACAAAACAUUUUUCAAAACAAAAGAAGUCAACUAACUAUGAGUUGUGAUUUAUUUGGUUGCAUCAAAUUAGAUAUUUGUUAUUAUGAAAGUCAGUUCGGUUCCAGUUUGACAAAUCUCAGUUUGGUUCUCCCCUACAGGUAUUAAAGAGAACGGAAUUAUACUUACAUUGGAAGGCGACGACUGAUAGUAGGAGCUGGACCUCUUCCUCCUCUCCCUCCUCUAACUCUUCCUCUCCCUCCUCCUUGUCUACAAGCAUCAGAGAAGAAUGUGUAAGUCUUGGAUUUAGUCUCACAGCAGUUAUUCAUGCCAUUACUGAAAAAAGGAACAGAAAUUCAUACUGGAUAACAACAGUCCUCUUCAGCCUUCCGUUGAGACCAGUGACAUUCACAUUCACACGACCAGAUAAAGGAGCCUCGGAAUUGUUGCCACCCAAAAUCUCAAGUCUCAUUGGCCUUCCAUCCAAUAAUACAUUGUUGUAUUUCUUCAGAGCUUGAAAUGCAUCACUUCUUCUUGGAUACACCACUUCAGCUGUGCCCUGUAGUUCCAUGGCACAAAACAAAAUCACUGUUAGAAAACAUAUAAGAUAAAGUUUUUCACAAUCAUGAAGAGAAUGGGAAUGAUAAAGAUUUGUGAGGACUUACACUUGGACGCCCAUUUUUAUCAUAAUGAAUCGCAUAACGCUCUACCUCCCCAAUCUCAGAGAAGAGUUCCUAGAUUCCACGAAGAUACAUUUUAGUGUCUGGCUCCCCUCUAAAAAAACAAAAGCACAUAUUAUAGAAGUCUGAUUAUACCCUUAUAUCUUCAUUUGUCACACCCUGGUCCAGAUUUGUAACAUGGAGCCUAGUUCCAACUUCAACUCCUGAUACCCCAGCAGCUCUUAAGCCAUCUUCAAACAAACCACUUUGCCAUGGCAAGCUCCUGACCCUACGGACAGGCUAUUCAAUAGAACAUAAUCACUUCAGUACAACAUGUCUGUCGAACUUCAAAAACAAUGUCAACGAAAAAAAAAUUCCAAAGAAGAGACCACCCAUUUGGCUGAAAGAGCGAAAAGCAGUCAAAGUAAUGAGCUCCACCGAGUAGUCAAGAACCACCCAAUGAGAAAACCAAAUGAAAUGGAGGAACAAUGAAUUUGACUGACUGCAUAUUGGUCACUGAUCCGAUUCCAAAACAAACUCUUUGUACCAAGGCUAUGAUGAUAAAAGUAAAACCAAGACGCUCAUAGCAUGCUGAAGAAAAUCCAGAUGUAGCAUGAGGUUCAUCACUAACUUCAUGUAUUAUACAGAUAGACUGUGUAGGGGUAAGGUUAAGUCACUACAAAGCGUAUUUACUGCAAGAACAGUUACUGAACAUUCCUCAAACGCCACAACACCACAUAUCUUUGGAGGAUUUUAAGCUGUGGCUGAAAAGCACAACAAUCAACAUGUCUAACUUAUCUACUGGAAGAACAAAUAUUGGUCUUCAUCUUACUGAAGCUCCUCAGCUUCGAAGUACUGUUGCAAAAGCAACCAAUAACUUGUCUGCCAAAGUCCUCACAAUUUAACAACAUAAACCACAAAGUACACUGAAACUGCAGGGGUAAGAGGUUUGCCUAAAUGAAAUCAUCUCCAUGAACUAGAAAGAAGCAUGUAUCACCUCCUAGACGAGGUUCUGAAUGCUAAAGAAUGUCAAACUAUCAUCAGAAGCAAGGCUUUUCGCAUGUACGAGAAAACCUGCUUCUCCCAUCGUUUAGAUAUAGCAUGAUGAAGUAAAUGCUUUGGUAUAUGAUACCACAGAAACUCAGAUUUCCAAAUCAUACACAUAGAAGAUCCCAGAUUUUGUGCUUGCCUUGUUAAUGGACAAAGACGAUGGGCGAGCAUUCACAGCAAGAGGACCUCUUCGAGCAGGUCCAGCUCCUCUUCUACCACCGAGAAAACCAUUUGAUCCACCACCACCACGGCCACGACCACGACCAGGACGAGAAUUUCCUCUUCCCCCAGACCUUGCAGUCUUACCCCUCAUAACAAUCUCAUCAAGAGUCAUAUUCAAAGCACCCGACAUCUUCACUCCAAUUGUCUUAUGAAACACAAUAAUAAAACUGAAUCUGAAAACCUGCAUAGAUUAGAGAAAGAUUGUUUAGUUACCACCAAAAACCAUGAACAAGUAAAAACAUAUCAUAAUCAUAAAACUGGCUUAUUCUUAAGACUAAAACAAAAUUGCAAAUUUAGAGCAACCCAGUAUAGAAAAACUCGAUCCUAUCAGAUUGAGAGCUAGAAAUCAGGUAAACAGAACCACAAACGUAGCACAUGGAGACAGUGAAAUCGGAUAAAACCCUAGAUUACUUAGGAAGGGGAAAUCUAUCGUUCUCAAUUUAAACAAACAUCAAUCAAAACCCUAGAUCUAUUGAUCUUAUAUAACCUAGUCAUAGUUAUUGAAACGAAAACUGGGAAUUGCGUGCAAGCAGAUAAGAGUGGAACGAAAUCAAUCAAGUAAGAUGGUUCAAGGGGACGAAUGAUUCGCAACAAGAUAGAAGAAGAAGAAGAAUUACCAGAAGAAGACAGUAGAAUCCGAACGAGAGGAGAUGGAGAGAUUGAGUUUAGGGUUUUUGAGGAGCUUCGAUGAGUUUUGUGCUUUUGGUUUCGUACUUUCGUUAAAUUGCAGAUCAGAAUUUAGCUGAGAGGGGAACGAGGAAGAUAAUGGGGUUUAACCGUUUAAGUCUAGGGUAAGGUCAAUUUCGUAAUUAUAUAAUAUGUUUAGGGUUAUUUUCGUCUUUACAUCGAUUAUGAAUUAGUAGAGAAUUUGAUUACAUAUUAUGGUCUAAACCACGGCACUACGAAGAAAUCACGAAAAGUCGGCUUUUUCGUACCUGCACAAAUGAAGUGUGUUGAAUUCAUACAUUUGAUUUCUACAUGUGCUAAAUCAUACAUGCACUUUUAAGAAAUUUGAAUUUCAAAUCCGAAGUUAACUUUUUGUGCAAAAUCCUACAAAAACGUGCAAAAUAUUUAACACUGUUAACCCACCGUGAAAUCGUAGUGACGUGGAUUACACGUGUACAACGUCAACGCAAAACGACGUCGUUUUAGGAAAAAUCAAAAUUUCAAAAACUUAGACAUUUUAAGUCUCGAACCCAGGACCUCUAAUAUGCAAAGACAACUCAUAACCAAUAUGCUUGUUAAACUCCACAAUCUCUAUAGAAUAUGAAACGACAAUUCGUUGUAGUUACUAGUUCGAUGGCUCUUCUUCCUCCAAAUUGGCUCAGAUGAUGACGUCUCCCUCUUGCUCGAUUGCUUCUUCAUGAGUUUGGUCAGAUUAAAUCCCCAAACCUAGUCGAUUUGAUUUGAAUUUUUAUGAACAUCGAUGAGUUUUAAGAACGAGUCGUUCUCUUCUUCGAUCAAUUCGGUGAAUCUCGAACCCGACGAAUGUGAAUUGAUGAGCAAAACGAUGUCCGCUUUGGAGGUGUGGAGCAGCCGUCGUAUGGGAGAAGAAGAAAAAAAAGAAAACGAAGGUUAUAAAUAUAGUUUUGGUUAGACAUACAAUGAGAAUUCGGUUAGCAUAUUGGUUAUGAGUUGUCUUUGCUUAUUAGAGGUCAUGGGUUCGAGACCUAAAAUGUCUAUUUUUUUGAAAUUUUGAUUUUAAGUAAAACGACGUCGUUUUAUAUUGACGUUGUACACGUGUAAUCUACGUCACUGCGAUUUCACGGUGGGUUAACGGUGUUAAAUAUUUUGUACGUUUUUGUAGGAUUUGGCACAAAAAGUUAACUUCGAGUUUGAAAUUCAAAUUUCUUAAAAAGUGCAUGUAUGAUUUAGCACACGUAGAAGUCAAAUGUAUGAAUUUAACACACUUCAUUUGUGCAGGUAUGAAAAAGCCGACUUUCCAAGAAAUCACCAUGGACGAUGAAAACUAAUGCCGGUUUAAAUAUUUAAUGGGUUCUAAGACAAAAAUUUAAAAUAUAUCUCUAAACAUGUAAAUUAUAGAGUUAAUUUUUUUAAAAAAUUUAUGAGUAUUUUUGUUAAUGGUUAUACGAAAGUAAAAUUUUGGAAAAAUGGGUAAAAAAACCCUCACCUUUCUUAAAAACAUGUAAAAAAUCCUCAACUUUUUUUUUGGGUUUUAAAACCCUCACCUUUUCAUAAGUGGUAAAAUAAACCCUAAUAUUAAUAAACUCAACUUUUUUUUAAAAUCGUCAUAUUAAAAUAAUAAGAAACAAAAAUAAUUUAAUAUAUGAUUUUUUCAAGUUCGAGUUUGCAAUUUUUCUUUCUAAAAUUAAGGUUUUUGCGCUAUAAAAAUUCAUUCAUAAUUUAGUUGAGAUUAGGCAAAUCAUUUUUGUUUCCAUUAGAAGUUAUGUUAUAUAAACUACAAAAAUUUAUAGGAUAGCACAUUUGAUUUUUUUUUUUGUUCGAGUUUUCAGGUUUUGGAUAAAAAUAUAGUUAAAUAAUUAUUAACUAUAUGUAAUUUAUAUUAUUUUUUAAUGUAUAGUAAUAUGUAUAUAGAAAUAUUUACUGUUAGUAAAUUUUAUUUAUUUUGUCCGAUGAAAAUAUUUUGAUGUGAAAAUUCAUAUAUUUUUUGUAGUAUUAUAAAAUUUGGUUUGGUUUUACGUAGGGGUGUCAAAAUGGGUUAAGAUUCAUGGGUCAACCAAAACUCAACUCAACCCAUGAACCUAAUGAGUUGAAAAUUUUGACUCAAAUGAGUUGAUGGAUCAAAUGAGUUAUUGAGUCAAAUGGGUUGAUGGAUCAAAUGAGUUGAGUUGUAAUGGGUCAGUGGUUUCAAUGGUUUACCCAUUUAACCCAUCAAUUUUUGUUAAAUUGAAUCAAACCAAUUCAAAUCUAUAAACCGAUUUCAAUUUGAGUCUAACCAAAACUUCUAAACCGAUUGAAUAUAGUCCUUAAUUUUUUCGCCAAAAAUGUAAAUAAAUAAUUUUCCAUCAAAAUAUAAAUUCGUGAUUUUCCCGCCAAAAAAGUAAAUCCACAAUUUUCCCGCCAAAAACGUAAAUUCGCAAUUUUCCCGCCAAAUUUUUUUAUAAUUUUUAACCAAAAACGAAAAUAUGUAAUUUUUCCGCCAAAAACGUAAAUUCGUGAUUUUCCCGCCAAAAACGUAAAUCCGUAAUUUUCCCGCCAAAAACGUAAAUCCGUGAUUUUCCCGCCAAAAUGUUUUAUAAUUUUUAGCCAAAAAUGAGAAUGUAAAAUUUUCCCGCCAAAAACGUAAAUCCGUAAUUUUCCCGCCAAAAACGUAAAUCCGUGAUUUUCCCGCCAAAUAAUAGUGACGUUGAUUAUUAUUAUUAUUAUUAUUAUUAUUAUUAUUAUUAUUAUUAUAUUUUAAUUAUUAAUUUAUUUAUUAUAUUAAUAGGUUAAUGAGUCAACCCAUUUAACCUUCUAACCCAUCAAAUUAAAUUAGUUGAUGGGUUGACUCAACUCAUUUAACUCUAAACUCAUUGGGUAAUGAGUUGCGUUGAGUUGGGUUAACCAUUUUGACACCCUAGUUUUACGUUAGCAAAUUUAUGUGAUUGAACCGAAUAAAUCUUUAUUAACAUAAACUCAUAUUUGGUUCAAUAUAAGAAUUUAUAUAUUAUUCGUAACAAAAUCUGUUUGGUUUCACAUUGAUGAAUUUUGUAACACAACCGAAUACAAUUAAAUUUUUUUCAUCAUGACUUAAAAAUUUUAAUUUAGAAAAAAGAUUGUAAACUGGAAUUUUAAAAGAAAAAUUCUAAAUCAAAUUGUUUAUAUUUAUUAUGUUUAAUAUAACGAUUUGUUUGAAUUUAAAUUGAGUUUAUUAAUAAUAGGAUUUAUUUUACCAUUUACGAAUAGAUGAGGGUUUAAAACCCCACAAAAAAAUGAGGGUUUGUUUUAUGUUUUUUAAAAAGGUGAAGGUUUUUC